GGUGUCACGCGGUAGCGGGUCCGCGUGGGGCAGCGCGCAGGGGGCGCCAUUUUGUGAGCGCGGCGCGGCGGGAGAGCUCGGUCGGUGAUCGCGGGCUGCACCUUCCCUCGUGGUCCAUAGCAGCUCCCUCCUGACUGAAAAGACCAAGAUUUUCAGCAUCAUAAGAUGCAUCUGGAAUCAGUAGCAGCGGGAGGAAGGAGAUUCAAGUAACAGCAACUGAAGUUCCACAGACGGUGAAAGGUGCCCAGGCGUUAUAUAUAACGUGAAGAAUGAGAGCAGCAUAUGAGCAGGAGACAAGAUUCCCUCUUACAACCUGGCUAGGAGUCCUUCCAGUAACAAUCAUCACAGAGGAACAUUUACUCACUAGCUGAGGAUUUAGGGCAUGCUCCUUAGCAUCCUACUUCAUACCAGAAAGUCCCCCCUUCCUCACAGUCCCAAGAAACUGCAGUUACCACUGUUCAAACCAUGCAGCUCAGUGGAAGUGCAUCUUACUACCUGAUGGAAGUAGAGGUGAAGCAUGCUGGACUUAGAGAGUCUGCAAACAUGGCUCACUACCACUGCCUAGAAAUGUAACAUCUUUGUGUGGUUUGUUAGUUCAAAACAUUUUCAAGACGUAUGUGUAAGACUAGGACACUGUUAAAAAAGAGUAAAUGAAAGAGAAAUAACGCUUGUACCUACCUGUCCUAAAUGUUAUAUACAAGUCGCUUUUCUUGCUCCCUUUAUAUCCAUGGUGCUGUGACUUAAGCACCAUGAGCGAUGCAUUUUGUUGUACUAGCCUUGCACCUUCUGGCUGCAUCCAUAAAGGCAAAUCUUGUGGGGAAAUGUGUUUACUUUCCAUCCAAAACAUAUCCAUGGCUUUUCCCAAGUUCAGCUUCGUACCUUCUACACUGCACGUGCCUCAUGUCUCAAGUGAAGUAGGCUGGUUCAAGAUCACUUCCUUCUCCCAGACUGCAUAUAAUGCAGUUUCUCAGCAUUGGUGGAACUCUUCUUAGAGCCAGCCUGGAGUGACCUACAGGGCCCUUCUCACUGCUGAGUGGUGCCUGGCCUAAUUCAUUUUCUGUACUGCCGUGCUGGUUCUGAACACAGAAUCAGACUCUGAAAGAGUACGGCCUGUGUGUAAUUGAUGCUUUUAACAUUGAGAGGCAGCAAAAAAAAUAACCAAUGAACUUAAUGGGAAAUUGAUUUCUUGUCCCGCUUUCUUAUUCUGUUUAAUGUGUUUUAUUUCACACUUCCUUGUCAAAUUCUAAUUGGACAUUUAGUUUUGUAUUAUAGAGUCUACUCAUCACUGUCUAUUUUAUUGUGUCUGCAGCUGUAGGGAAGGAGUAACUGAAGGAUAAGGAUUUGCUGAGGCUCAUACAAAGUAAAAAAUGUUUGUAGAGGUGAAACAAUACAUACAAAGUGAAGCCAAAGCUAGGAGGAGCUGCAGGCCAACACUGCCCUUUUUAGGGCUGAGCUUUGCUCAUCUUCCAAGUGAUAAAGGCUGGAUUAGAAAUAGGGAUCAGUAUAUUAGUUUAAGGACCAAUAUAUUAGUUUAGCAAAAUGGAUCAAUGAGUACUAGUUUUAAAACUUUCCAGUUUAGCCUUGCUUGGUGUGUGUGAACAGCUUUGUUUUUCUUAAUGAUCCUGCUUCACAGGAGCACUGGAGUCACAAUAGACCCCUUUUAUCUUUGCAUCCACCAGGUGCAAGGACUUCUUCCUCAGAUUUCACAUAUAUGGUUUUGGGUUAUAAUGCACUAAGAUAGAAAGUUUCUCAUUAUGGCGUAACACGCAAUGGAAAUUUGCCAAAUUGGGGAAAAGCAGCUAAAGGUCAGCAAAAGUCACUGUGAUGAAGCUCAUGAUGGAAAAACAAAGAGAAAGUAAGUGGUCUAAGACCACCAGAGGCCACUACCACACGUGCCCAGCGGAACAUUAGCAAAUAUUAAUGAGUUCUUGGAAAAGAAUGAAUAUAUAUGCACGUGUAUUGCAUAUGUGUAUCUUAACGGUUUGAACGUAGAACUUGAACUCUGAGAGAGUGCACUUGAUUUGUCAAGUCACCCAGUACGUAUCAUGAGGAAUAAGGGAAUGCCACUUUCUAACACCACAUUGAAGUUAGAGACUUUUCUUCCCAGAUUUCAAAUGACACAAGAAUGUGAUCUGAGGGCUGUAAAACAUAAGUAUGCCAGGAAGUACUUCCUGUGUCCCAGAAUUAAAGAAACCCAUCAUAAAUAUCCUAGAACAUAUUUUGUGCAUUUAUGUGAGUAACGUAAUCUGAGUUCUCGGUGGAUCCAGCCUACAAAAUAAGAACUGGGAAUAUCUGAGGCCUUGCUUGAACAGCUGCCACUUGUUAAUGAUCUGCAGCUGAUGGUUAUUUUGGCCACUGAUUCCUGAACUCACCUGGGACAAGUUGCUGGGGAGAGGAUUAAAUAGUGUGGUACAACAUGGUACACGAGGUACACACUGGCACCUGCUAAAAUGUCUUCCAUAAGCAAUGCCAGCUGUGAUGAGCUGAGAACAUUGCUGUGAUUCUCUACCCAGGACGGAUACAGGGAGAAAGGGGAAGCAAGGAAAAAGAGGUGGAUGUGCAGCUGGGUUUGAGUGGCAUGUCUGAGGCACUGUCACAUCUAGUUCAGUAAGAAGAUAUGUUUUAUUUCAAUAUGUCUCUCAGCCCUGAAGCUUGCUUUGGUGGAAAAAAGCGUUGAUAAUUAAGUCCUGAAUUAUUGUAACUCUAAAUCUCU